rnacentral:rRNA from 1 species
AUGCACCUCGGCAAGAUCGUCGGAUGCUGCGAUCGACGGCCUGAACAGCAAGACCCACAUGAAGAUCCUGCUGAAGUGGAUGUGGGGCAGGAGGAUCAUCAAGCUCUUGUGCACGUAGCGGGGAGCUGCUCUUCGUCUCGCCUUGCGCCGAUGAAAAAUACCAGUGCUUUCGUUGCUAAUAAUACACGCAUGUUCCACAACUAA